UACGUAGGGGGCGAGCGUUGUCCGGAGUACUGGGCGUAAAGCGCACGCAGGCGGUUUCGUACGUCUGGAGUGACAGUUCCCGGCUCAACUGGGAAAGGUCUUCGGAAACGGCGAGACUUGAGGGCUUCAGAGGGACACGGAAUUCCGGGUGGAGUGGUGAAAUGGCGUAGAGAUCCGGAAGAACACCGGUGGCGAAGGCGGCCCGCUGGGCAGGAAGACACCGCAAGGUGUCGGCUGACGCUGAGGCGCGACAGCGUGGGGAGCAAACACGG
rnacentral:rRNA from 1 species